AUGACCGCCAGGCCGCGGACGCGCAGCAGGAGCCCUAGUCGGGGUGCUUCACGGUCGGCCGCCUGCUCACUAGUUGGUGCCGAUCUGGGCGAGUUCCGCGAGGAGUUCAAGCAGAAGAACCCCAAGAACAAGUCUAUCGCUGUUGUAGGCAAAGCAGCCGGUGGGAGGUGGAAGAGCUUGAGCGAGUCGGUAAGUUAUUUCUACCUCUUCAAGAGCUCACGCAACUUAAUCAACUAUGCUAGAGCCCAUAGUAGCUUGCGGCUGCACACGGAACGGGGUCAGCGGCGGGGCGACGGCGAGGGGCGGCGGAGUUGCAGCGGUGUCGGGCGGCGGGGUCGCGGCGAUGACGGGGGGGAUGACUCCUGCCAGGGUUGA
rnacentral:rRNA from 1 species